rnacentral:lncRNA from 13 species
ACUGUGUCUCUCUGCAGUCAUGUUGGUGUAACUAGUCUUGAGAUGUAUAAAUAAAUAAAAUACAUUGUUUUGAUCAGGUUUUUUGCUUUUGUGGAACUUAUCUUUUUAUUGACGUUUGUUAAUCAAACUCAUAACUACUGUUUAUGUGUUCUACUUGUAGCCCUGGUUGUCCUGAAAAUAAAAUGGUUAAACACUUCAUUGUGAGGCUAAAUAUAAGGGCUGAACAUGCUGAUAAAUGAAAGUCAGAUCAUUGAAAAGACCAUUUUUUUCUGGGAACUUUUGACUGAUAGGGUUAACAUCAUGUUCUGAUGUUGUUGCCCUUGGUCAGAGAUUACGCCCACAUCUCUAUAAACCAUCAGCUGCAUCUCCACUUGUAGACAUAUGACUGUAGAUCCCCAACUCAGCAGGCAGGCAAAGACUUUAGAAGACUGCUGCAGCCCAUCCAUCUUUAGGUGGUGGGAUUCCCCUCCUGGUGGGGUUAUAGUGAUGGAGAGGCCUGAAGAUGAGGGGUCACCUGGUGGGGUUCUAGUAAUGGAGAAGCCUGAAGAAGAGGAGUCACCUGGUGGAGUUAUAGUGAUGGAGAAGCCUGAUGAUGAGGAGUCACCUGGUGGGGUUAUAGUGAUGGAGAGGCCUGAAGAUGAGGAGUCACCUGGUGGGGUUAAAGUGAUGGAGAGGCCUGAAGAUGAGGGGUCACCAGGUGCAACAGGUGGUGAAGGGGAUGGAAGAGACACCACACCUGUUCACAGCACUGGUACUCCUGAUGGCAUGUCAGCACUAGGAGUUAUGCUACAGGGCUUCAUGUUAAAUCAACAGCAGUCAAUGCAACAGCAACAGCAGUCAAUGCAACAGGCAAUGCAAUCCAUGCAGCAGCAGAUCAGCCAGCUACAGGAGGAGGUGCAGAAAGGAAAGACAAAGCAACAGUGUGUUGUGACCCCUUUACCAGCAGCAAACCCAGACACUUUGACAAGACCAGCUCCUCAGUCUCGAGGUAAGUUGUUCAUCAAAAAGAUGCAGCUCUUUGAGUAUAAAUAUACAAUAGACAACAAUUCAACAGUUCAUAAGCAGUGUGCAAACUAACCACUUUCUGCAUGUAUGCUGAUCUACAGUACUAUAUCUCACCCUCCAUUCUAGACCCAGCAGAGGAGGUAUCAGGUGAACACGUUGACAAGAAGGAGGAGGCAGCAGAGAUGGUAAGACACAAUUACAUAAGAAGAAAAGGUCCUAAGAAAGUAUCACAUUAUGAUGUCAUCUAAAGUUAAAACUGAUAUUUAAAAACCCUGAUGAAUUUCCAUCCAGGGGCCUCUACAUGUUUGUGAAAUUCAUAGUAAUUGAGAGAUCACAGGGUUAUACUUUGUAUUUUUUAAAUGUAACUAGGCAAGUCAGAACAAAUUGUUAUUUUCAAUGACGGCCUAGGAACAGUGGGUUAACUGCCUGUUCAGGGGCAGAACAGUCUUAACAGUCAGUAAUAAACCAUGUAUAAACAGAGAGAACAGGGUAAUACUGUGUAUUAACAGUCAAUAAUAAACCAUGUAUAAACAGACAGAACAGGGUAAUACUGUGUA